rnacentral:rRNA from 1 species
GAGUAACACGUGGGUAACCUGCCCAUAAGACUGGGAUAACUCCGGGAAACCGGGGCUAAUACCGGAUAACAUUUUGAACCGCAUGGUUCGAAAUUGAAAGGCGGCUUCGGCUGUCACUUAUGGAUGGACCCGCGUCGCAUUAGCUAGUUGGUGAGGUAACGGCUCACCAAGGCAACGAUGCGUAGCCGACCUGAGAGGGUGAUCGGCCACACUGGGACUGAGACACGGCCCAGACUCCUACGGGAGGCAGCAGUAGGGAAUCUUCCGCAAUGGACGAAAGUCUGACGGAGCAACGCCGCGUGAGUGAUGAAGGCUUUCGGGUCGUAAAACUCUGUUGUUAGGGAAGAACAAGUGCUAGUUGAAUAAGCUGGCACCUUGACGGUACCUAACCAGAAAGCCACGGCUAACUACGUGCCAGCAGCCGCGGUAAUACGUAGGUGGCAAGCGUUAUCCGGAAUUAUUGGGCGUAAAGCGCGCGCAGGUGG